GACGAACGCUGGCGGCGUGCUUAACACAUGCAGGUCGAACGGAAAGGCCCUACUUUUGUGGUGUGCUCGAUGGGCGAACGGGUGAGUAACACGUGAGUAACCUGCCCUUGACUUUGGGAUAACUUCAGGAAACUGAGGCUAAUACCAGAUAGGAGCUCCUGCUGCAUGGUGGGGGUUGGAAAGUUUCGGCUGGUGGGGAUGGACUCGCGGCUUAUCAGCUUGUUGGUGGGGUAGUGGCUUACCAAGGCUUUGACGGGUAGCCGGCCUGAGAGGGUGGCCGGGCACCAGGGUCCUACGAGAGGCAGCAGAGUGCUAUGGGGGGCAGUAGUGGCGAAUCUGAUACAGUGAGACGACGUGUGAUGCAGCAGCCUUGGGUGCGGGAUGACGGUUUUUGGGUUGUGAACAGCUGUAGCUUGAGACGAAGCGUGAGUGACGGUAAUGGGUAAAGAAGCACCGGCUAACUACGUG
rnacentral:rRNA from 1 species